GAUGAACGCUGGCGGCGUGCCUAAUACAUGCAAGUCGAGCGGACGGGCGAGAAGCUUGCUGCUCUGAUGUUAGCGGCGGGCGGGUGAGUCACACGUGGAUAACCUCCCUAUAAUACGGGUAUAACUUCGGGAAACCGGAGCUAAUCCCAUAUGAUCUUUUGCACCGCGUGGGUGAAAGGUGAGAGACGGUCGUGCUGGCACUACUAGCUGGUUACGCGCUGCAUUAGCUAGUUGUUGAGUUCAAGGCUUAUCAAGGGGACGCUGCAUAGCCGAAGUCAGAGGGGGAUAGCCGACACGGGAGCUGGGACACCGUCCAGAGUCCUACGAGAGGCAGCAGUAGGGAAUCGUACGCAAUAGUGGGAAGCCUUACGGAGCAACCGCGCGCGAGUGAUGACGGUGCUCGGAUCGUAAAGCCCUGUUACGAGGGAAGAACAUAUUUGGACGGAACCGUGCACAGCUUGACGGUACCGAAUCAGAAAGCAACGGCUAACUACGUG
rnacentral:rRNA from 1 species